UACGUAGGGGCUAGCGUUAUCCGGAAUUACUGGGCGUAAAGGGUGCGUAGGUGGUUUCUUAAGUCUGAUGUGAAAGCCCACGGCUUAACCGUGGAGGGUCAUUGGAAACUGGUCGACUUGAGUGCAGAAGAGGGAAGUGGAAUUCCAUGUGUAGCGGUGAAAUGCGUAGAGAUAUGGAGGAACACCAGUGGCGAAGGCGGCUUCCUGGUCUGUAACUGACACUGAGGCGCGAAAGCGUGGGGAGCAAACAGGAUUAGAUACCCGUGUAGUCCCUGA
rnacentral:rRNA from 1 species